rnacentral:rRNA from 1 species
CCUACGGGGGGCUGCAGUGGGGAAUAUUGGACAAUGGGGGCAACCCUGAUCCAGCCAUGCCGCGUGUGUGAAGAAGGCCCUCGGGUUGUAAAGCACUUUCAGUGAGGAAGAACGCCUGGUGGUUAAUACCCAUCAGGAAAGACAUCACUCACAGAAGAAGCACCGGCUAACUCCGUGCCAGCAGCCGCGGUAAUACGGAGGGUGCGAGCGUUAAUCGGAAUUACUGGGCGUAAAGCGCGCGUAGGUGGCUUGAUAAGCCGGUUGUGAAAGCCCCGGGCUCAACCUGGGAACGGCAUCCGGAACUGUCAAGCUAGAGUGCAGGAGAGGAAGGUAGAAUUCCCGGUGUAGCGGUGAAAUGCGUAGAGAUCGGGAGGAAUACCAGUGGCGAAGGCGGCCUUCUGGACUGACACUGACACUGAGGUGCGAAAGCGUGGGUAGCGAACAGGAUUAGAUACCCCAGUAGUC